UACGUAGGUGGCAAGCGUUGUCCGGAAUUAUUGGGCGUAAAGCGCGCGCAGGUGGUUCCUUAAGUCUGAUGUGAAAGCCCACGGCUCAACCGUGGAGGGUCAUUGGAAACUGGGGAACUUGAGUGCAGAAGAGGAAAGUGGAAUUCCAAGUGUAGCGGUGAAAUGCGUAGAGAUUUGGAGGAACACCAGUGGCGAAGGCGACUUUCUGGUCUGUAACUGACACUGAGACGCGAAAGCGUGGGGAGCAAACAGG
rnacentral:rRNA from 1 species